CCUACGGGGGGCAGCAGUGAGGAAUAUUGGUCAAUGGACGAGAGUCUGAACCAGCCAAGUAGCGUGAAGGAAGACUGCCCUAUGGGUUGUAAACUUCUUUUAUAAGGGAAUAAAACGAGGCACGUCUUCCUUUUUGCAUGUACUUUAUGAAUAAGGAUCGGCUAACUCCGUGCCAGCAGCCGCGGUAUUACGGAGGAUCCGAGCGUUAUCCGGAUUUAUUGGGUUUAAAGGGAGCGUAGAUGGGUUUUUAAGUCAGGUGUGAAAGGUUGCGGCUCAACCGUAAAAUUGCAAUUGAUACUGGCAGUCUUGAGUACAGUUGAGGUAGGCGGAAUUCGUGGUGUAGCGGUGAAAUGCUUAGAUAUCACGAAGAACCCCGAUGGCGAAGGCAGCUUACUAAACUGUGACUGACAUUGAUGCUCGAAAGUGUGGGUAUCAAACAGGAUUAGAUACCCUAGUAGUC
rnacentral:rRNA from 1 species